GACGAACGCUGGCGGCGUGCUUAAUACAUGCAAGUCGAGCGAGGCCUUGGAAUUGGAGUCCCUUCGGGAUGAAGAGUCCUUGGCCUAGCGGCGGACGGGUGAGUAACGCGUGGGCAACCUACCCCAAAGUCCGGGAUAACAGUGGGAAACCGCUGCUAAUACCGGAUGACUUUACCUGAGGGCAUCCUUGGGUAAAGAAAGGUUACGCUUUGGGAUGGGCCCGCGUCCCAUUAGCUAGUUGGUGAGGUAACGGCUCACCAAGGCGACGAUGGGUAGCCGGCCUGAGAGGGUGAACGGCCACACUGGGACUGAGACACGGCCCAGACUCCUACCGGGAGGCAGCAGUAGGGAAUAUUGCGCAAUGGGCGGAAGCCUGACGCAGCGACGCCGCGUGAGCGAAGAAGGCCUUCGGGUCGUAAAGCUCUGUCCUUGGGGUAAGAAGGCGAAAGCUUGACGGUACCCAAGAAGAAAGCCCCGGCUAAACCUACGUAG
rnacentral:rRNA from 1 species